AAAUGUCGGCGGGCUGCCGGUCGCAACGGGCAUACGUUCAUUCGCUACUCCUGAUAGCAGACGAAAGUCAGUUCUUUUCACAAGAAAAUAACAAACGUAUCGGGAACAACAGUGAACUGUUUUCGGAACUUGAGAAAACAUCGGCUGUUAUCCAACCUUUAGGCGUCCACUAAGUCAUCGCCACCGUCUCUAAAAUCUACUCAACUCCGCGCACAGAGGCUAAAUGAGUGCGUGGAAAUGAAAAUCAUAGAGAUGCCGAUCUCACACCCCCGAAAUGUGAAAGAGUCGAGCAUGAUCGAAAUAUCAUGUGAUUUCGUGGAGCAUCCCCGGAAAGUUCGCUCGCUUCCUCCCGAACUGACUACGCAGUCUCCACAAGAAUCUUUGAAACCAUAUGGUGGUUUGCGACGCGCUAUAUUUCUGCUAAAGCUAGUUUGUUGCCUGGGGGAUCUAUGCAUGGUUCAUUAAAUAUGACACUAAUUUAAAAAGCCUUUUCUGUAUUUAGCUAUGUUAAUUUUGCUCACAGAAGCAGGUAAUUAAUUACACUGCCGGUAAAAAGGUUUUGCAGUUCGUUUGUUAUUUUCUGUCGUAUGUUUCAUAUUCAAUAGGAGAACUAGUCAACAACAAUGACACAGCGUUACAUCUGAGGUGAGAACUUUGCAACUUGCACUUUUGAAAACUUCGACAAACUGUGUGGUCUUAAAUUAGUUCUAUGCAAAUAAAAUCAAAGCACGAACCGACGUCACGAGGUUUCACUUCCAUUUUGAACCACCAUUGAACGACGACGAACAUACGCUUAUAAACUUUUAUAUCAAGAAAAGCUAAGGCGAUUCCAUUACAUUUGCAACGAAUUCAAGCAGUCGUGAUUGCCUCAUGACGGACUCGAGCUCCAACUGUGGCUUUUAAACAUAUGUUAGCGAUAUUGAGCGCACCUAUGAGAGUUAUUUUUUAAACCGUUACCUUUUAAAUAAUAACCACAAAAUGAAGAACCUUUCAACUUCUUUUAACACACACGCGUUUUAUGUUACAUAUUAAUUUUCUUUUUCUUUCGAGCUUAUUCAAUAUAAUAUUAUACAAUACACCUCGUACAUGUCCAUAUUGAAUGCAAGUUUAUAUUGAGCUAGUAAGCGUGCCCAGACGGGACUUAUGUACUUGAUAUCCUCGUUGAUUGCUGAUGUCUUUCGCCCAUUGAGAAAAACUUAUCGGAAUUAAGUACCUCCUCUAGUUUUUGAGAUGUUUUUUUUCGGCAUCUUCAAAAGACGCAGCGUAACAGACUAACAGUUAUACAUCACUGUCAUUGACAAAAAUCAAGAAGUGAGACCAUUUGGCGCACUUAUGCUGCUCACGGUGUAGCCGUAAGCUUCAGUUAAUGAAAUUGGCUUUGAGGUGUGUCAUUCAGAUGUUGCCAUCUACAAAACGGCCAUAAAAAACGCGGUUGGCGAGCUCAGUACGCGCCGCAGCAGCUCGUGCGGUGUUCCUGGUCGAUUCAU